GACUAUGUGCCAUCAGUUGAUGCUGGAUUGACCUGGAAAUCUAAGAAAGAGGAUGGAUUGGAUGUUUCUAUCUGGUGGAGUCCUUCAGAGGAUAGAUGGGUCCUCUGUACAUCAGAUGGGAGACUUUAUCUCAGCCAGAACUAAGGUAUCUGGGAGCCUCGUACCUUCUUUCCUCUUCUUCCCUCGAAAGGACCAGCCAUGAGCCAUUCCCAUUCUCUAAUCCUCAUAAGACUCCUGAAAAAUAGAUAAUGUACCAACAUUCAGAAUGAGCAAACUGAGGUUCAGAGAGUGCUGAAGACAGAGGUGUGCUGGCUCUCCCAUGGAGCUAUGGUACAAUGGGAAUGGAAAGGCUGUGAUCUGCAGAGUUGUUCCCUGUGACCCAAUAUACUUCACAGCUCCCCAAGCAGCAAGCUGGAACCAAAGAAAAGUCUAAGUUUUUCUGAUAACUGAUCAUAAGAAAGCAACAUUCAAUGUGGAAAAAGAGGAAAAUCUCAUCAUGGAGUGAGUCAAUAAAAUGAUUUCGAGGAGAAAAGAAGGAAAUGAAUCUUAAUCCUAAAACAAGCUUACGGAUACUGACACCAGUGACAAUGCUGGCAACCAAAUCUUAUAGAGAAUGGCUGCACGAGUAGAAGAAAACUGCAUCUGAGUCACUACUUGGAACAGAACCACCAGACCAGGACCACUUAUAUCCAACUGAAAUAGUGCCCAUGGAGUGUGGGAUCUGUUAGUGGAGCACCAUGCAGUCAUUACCUGGCUUAUAAAACUGGUACAGAAAGCUCAGAGAAUUGUUUCUACCUAAAGCCAUGCAAUGUGCUUGGAGUCCAUGUUUAGAUGCUCA